rnacentral:lncRNA from 1 species
AAUUAAUUCUGCUUUUGUUAUUUGUUAUAUGUGCGUACUGCAGAGGGUCUUGGGGCGUCCGGUGCGGCAGCGGCGAGGGUAGGGGUGCUCCUUGCCGCCCAGCACGGGCCGCAGGUGCUCGAUGUUCUUGUCCGGGUCACCCAGGUCGUUGUACGUGUCAUAGUCAUAGACGCGCUCGUGGAACUUGCGCUCGCCGGUCCCGUCGCCGCGCAGCGUCUCCAGCUCCUUCCUCCGUAACGCUUCGAUCCCCGGCGGCGUCUGCGACGGCAGGUACGACUGAUGCAUGCAUGCAUAUCUAUGGUCAGUAAAUUCCAGAGUGCGCUUUGCCGGAGCUAGCUAGGGUGUGCCAUGGGCAUGGUGGAUGAAUUACCUUGACGGUGAAGAACACGCGGGGUUCAGGGUUGUCGAACUUUGAAUGGACCCAGGAGGCGACGUCGAAGGCGACGGCGGAGCUCUCGUCGCCGCCGGUGACGAGCUUGAUGUCCUUGAUGAACAUCUCCUUGUGGUGCUCGUUCUCCACCACCACCGCUCCCACGGGCCCGAACGAUGCCGGCACCGACAUCUUCGCCUCGUAGACCCCGUCCGUGACGGUCAUGUGCGCGAACCCCUUCACCCUCUCCCUCUCCAUCCCCGUCUCUGCGCUCCACCCUCGUCAAAACUCAAGAACUACUGUUUGCAUGCAUGUAUGAACAGUUAACUGCAUGCCACUGUUAGAAAGAGAGAAAUUUUACUCACUGGGGUCGAGCUCGGAGCUGACGAGUUCAAGGAGGAGCGUCUUGCCGAGGAGGUCCUGGAGAUCGUCGAUGCCGCGGGAGACGUACACGACGCCGAUGGGCGCCUGCGCCGUCACGGUGGCGGUCACCGUCAGAGCCCUCUCCGUCGUCACCGUCGACACGCCGACGGCCUGCUCGGUUGAUGCGCAGCGGAUCGUCCUGCGCGCUGCCGCUCGCCGGCGAGCUCCUCGUCUGAUCUUCUGGCAGCUGCUCGUCGCUGCCGCCGUGGCGAAGAGCGGCGUCGAGCCGACAUUGCCGCUCUGCGCGGAGAGCGUCAGAGGCUGCUUCAGAUGGAUCAUGGCUAGCUAGCUGCUUUAGAUUAGAUCGAGCUGCUACGUUUGUUAAUUCCACAGUAUAUUCUUGCUUGCUGAUUGAUCAGCUAGCUAGGAGAGAGCAUAGCAGCGGCAGAGAUAGAGGUAUGGAAAUGGCCAGAGGGCGGUCUCCGUGUGUGUUGCUCUCCGAGCUGGCUCCCUGGUCCUCCCUCCUAUACUUGGCGGUUCUCUUUGCCUCUCUGGUUGUGCCGUGUUGUCCUCCCUCCUAUAUGGUGCCCAGUAACUAAAAAUCUCCUGUGCGGGUGCUUCAGGGUCAGGGCAUCGUGUUUCACGUGUAUAUGUGUCUCACUGCCUGUGUUUCCUGCAGUAUCCAACGAGGCCAUGACGAAAAAAAGAAACACAGUAAUGGAGUAUAGAUGUAUCCCCUCGUCUGCUGAAAUUAGAUUCAAAAUUACGACAUGAUGUUAAGAUGAUACAAAAAGAGAGAUGACUUCAUAUUAUAACCACAGAGUUUAAAUUACCCCCCUCAACUCCAAUGCCGGUUAGAACACAACCUCAAACUAUUCAUACUGUUUAAAUUAACCACCUCACCCAGUUAAAAGAUGAUUUUCGCAUACGUGGCAGAUUUGAGGUUGUGUUUUAACCGUAGAGUUGAGGGAGAUAAUUUAAACUCUGUGAUUAGUUCAGGUUGUAACAUGGACUUACCUCUACAAAAUAAGAAGCCUCGGGCCUCCGACCUCUACAACAACACGACAUUGGAACAUACACACAACCAAUCUCACACAGAAGAAAACCAUAACAAACUUUUGAUAUGCUGCAGCGAACACAAGUGCAGCUCAGUUGGUUAGGUUUGUGGAACCGGGCCACUCGUGUCUAAGUCCUAGUCUUGGCACGGAUAUUCGUAUUUACCUAGCAAUUAACUCUGAAACCUUAUUUUUAUGUAGAAGUCGCAAGAAAACCAAACACGUGGCAUCACAUCGAGGAGCAGGUCACGCCCAUGCCCGAAGUGUAUACGUUAAACUAUCUUUUUUUUCCGGAUACGAGUGAGAGAAUGUGACACGAGCUUUGCCGAAACACAAGUCCUCACGUUUGAUGGGUUUUUCUUCUACUUUUGCGCCACACAUCUCACACAGCCGCAUCUGGAUGGGAUGUCCCAAUGCACACGUGAAAGAGACGGGCCGUCAGCCCACGACACACCCCGCCCGGGACCGGCCCGUUGGAGCGUAGCGUAUCUCCUCUCCAUCGGCGAGCUGCGGACGGGCCCAAGGAAACUCUGUGGACACGUUCUCUUGCACUUUACAUCCCUGUGCUGCUGCACGAGAUUUAACAAAAUCUUUCUUCUUGUUUUGCACGGGAGAGCUCAUACGCUAGAGUGCUAGGCGCCUAGACGUAGGUGCGGUCCCGUGUGGGGCAGUAUUCUGUGGAGACCGUGCACGAUAGAAACGAACCGCGAAAUAUCUACAGUAGCUUGGAACGCUACGGCCUACGGGUACUCCACACCCAUGCUUCACGAAAAAUCGAGCUAAUUCUCACGAGACAUGUCUAGCAAAACCGAUUUUUUAUUGGUCACAUUUUUUUUUGUAUCGGGAGGCAAGGCCAGGUCCUGUUACCGAUGGUUACCGGGCUUGGAAUUUUUCUCUUUGAAAGAACCCUUCUUCAUAAAUGACGAUACGUGUAUUCUAGAAGAAAAAAAUAAUUAAAGUUCAGAUGACAUAUACAAAGAUGACGAGUACUCAUUUUGAGACAAAUGUAUGUUAUACUAUGUGAGCCCUCGGGAGUUGGCACGUGCUUCUAGCGACUCGAGUCUGAGCACUUGUGGCUAAGUAAAUGAUACUUAGGGCUGAGUAAGGAUUACUCGGAGCCACGGGGUACUCCAGGAGACUUGACGGUAGUUUUUGAGCAGUCGCUCAUCAAAAAAUUCGCACACUUGAGGGGUGCUGUGGGCCGAGUUAGACUGGACUCGACUCGUAUCGGGUUUAGAAUCCUAAAAAUAACAGGCCAACCCAUGUUAGGGUUAGAGGAGUUGUGCGAGUUAAACUCUGCCGUCACCACCUCCAUGCCCAAGUACAUUUUGUGAUUGGGUCUAGCAACUCGCCGCAUGAGGUUCCUUUCUAUACGUGUGGAUUCCGUUAGAGGUGUUGCACUUGCUUGGAUGAACCGUACGAUGGAUCUGCUAGGAGUCUACUCGGGAUCAACACGCUACAUCGACUCUACUUGCGCAAGGGUAUGCGUGUCAAGUCAUAAUCCUUCUGGUUCAUACAUCAUUGAUUUCGGCGGAGCGUGGUAGAAAUUCUUAUUUGUGCUAGUGUAGCAUACCCCGUCCCCAAACGCACGCUUCUGAUAGACUGAGACGGUUAGAUAGACUGCACUAUCAUCGAAGAAAUAGAGAUGUUGUUUGUUCCGUUGGCGAGCAACAAUCUGUCACUCAUUUUCCUUCUUUUCUGGUGGGUGCAUGUUUGUGUCCUUAUUAUCAAGAAUUCAGGUAAUUUUAAUGUUAAUUUUUAAUCUAUUAUAUACUAAAAGCAAUAUGAGGGGUACCGAGACGAGCCUCCACGUUGAUCCACAUCAUCAAUAUUAUUUGGACCGUUAGAUUCUAAGUUUUAUGGUCAAGAUCUAACAAGGGAAAAUAGAUUUGAUAGACUCAGGAUAGUUAUUACGGACCAGAAGUCCGGCUAUAUCACGAUGGUAUCCGGAAAUCAAUCUUUUUUGUUAGCUCGGCUCCGCGUCAUGCCUCGGUCGAACCAGAGAUGGAUGCCUCGGUCGGACCAGACAGAGCUCGAUCUGAUGAUGACUCCCACCCUGUAUUUGGCCCGUAAAUUUCUAGAUCAAUCACAUACCAUAGAUCUUAUAAAAAGGGUUGUUAUUCAUGGAGCCCAAGACCAUCCACCUUCUGGACGGCUAGCUCAGUACGCAUAUGUAUGCAUGCAGUACAGUACAAUAGCAUGAAAACAGAUCGUCCUGUUACUGCCAGCUGAUCAAUCGAUGCCCCCAAUUUAUUUUCUCUAUUCAAUAUGAUAUUUUUUUUUUGUCAAGACGAGCUAUUAAUAGUGUUUGGAAAACUAUAACUCUGCGUACCAAUGUAUUGUUAGUAAGAUAAAUGUGGGCUACACAGGAUCUCUACGAUUUCUCACAAUCUAUAAUUUUGCAAAGAUUAGUUUCGGACCGUAUUUAAAAAUCAUUGCUCUAUAUAUACCAUUUUAUUAUUGCUAAGAAAAAUGUGAAUUGCGUUGCAUGUGUGGUCUCAAAUUUUACCCGUAUAAUAUAAAACAAAUAAAUCAGAUGGUUCAAUUAAAAAAAGAAUCUCCUAAAAAUAGAUUUAGAAAAAAAAGAGGGGAACCGCUGGGAGACGCCAUGUUGAUCCACAUCACCUGAAUUAUAUUGUCCAUCGGAUCUUAUAUUCAACGGUUAAGAUUUAAUGAGAAGGUUAUAAAAUAAAAACAAUAUGAGGGGUACCGAAGGAGGCCUCACGUUGAUCCACAUCACCUCAAUUAUUCUGAUCGUUGGAUCUGAGAGUUAUUGACACACGACUGUUAGAUCUACGUGACACGUAAAUUUGCUAACCUGAAGCAACCAGACGACGGACGCAUCAUUUUUUAACCUAAACGAACUCUUACAUGUCACGUUUAUUUUUCAUAAAGUCUGCGCCGCGUGCCUUCAUUGGAGUCGCCACUCUCGCUGUUGGAGUGUCCGCCACGUGCCUUUACUGGUAACGAGGUAGGCCAAACUUUCGAAGGGAAUCGUCGACGAGUCCACUUCCAUGAUGAAAAAUGUCUACGUGAACAAGGUUGCUUUGCAGCAAUUCAUCGAGAUCAAACAAAUUAAUACUCACAUUUGGUACUACAGCAUAGUCUUACGCACUUUUGGUGUGCUGUCAUUAUUAAAUGAUUUGUUUUUACAUUUGGUGGUAAUUAGCGAUUUGACGAAGUGCCAUAUAAGAGUUUGGUGGCAAUAAGUGGUCUAAUUUUCGUCUCCGCGGGCGGCCCAUGCACGUGCUUGCAGCAUCACAGCACGGCGGCCUUGCAGCUUGCGUACGCGCUAAGAGCACCGUGCGGCCGCGCCGCCGCUGCUGUGAUCAGCUGCCCCGGCGCCAUCGGCCGCUUCCGUGAUCCGUCGUCGUUGAGACGCCAUCAGGUCCCUGCUGCCAUCAUCCACGGCUGCCACAGUACUCUAUUAGCCGCCACCGGAUGCCGCCUCGCUCGCAAGGAAUGCUUGGCGCAUCAUCCAUCCAAAAUAAUACUCCCUCCGUCCAACAAAGGAUGUCUCAACUUUGACUAAAUUUGAAUGCAUCUAUAUACUAAGUCAUGUCUAGAUACAUCCAAAUUUUCACAAACUUGAGACAUCUUUUGUUGGACGGAGGGAGUAAUUAAAUAUUAAAAAUAUAUAAGUUUGUGAUCGAUGUCUAAAAGAUAAUUUUUAAAUUAUAUAAAAUAAUAUCGCACAAAGUAAAUGUAGCAAACAUAAGGUGCUUAUUCAAGCUCAACGCUUUUGUAUUAAUGUGUUGCUUAAAAUAUAAUGACAACCUUAUCUACAAUAUAAUGUGUUAUUAAAUUAAUCUAAUGAUGCAGAAUAUUCCAUCUUAUUAUUUUAGAAGAUUUGUCUUCACAAAAAACAAAUAAAAAAGCUAUACAUAUUUUGGUUAAGUAAAAUAUAUAAGAAAUCAUAUAUUUUAUUAUACAAGUCUAGCCGCUCAAUCUGCGCGGGUCACCUCAAUUAUUCUCAGCCGUUAGAUAUGAGAUCUACGAGUCGUACAAGCAAUAUGAGGGGUACCGUGGGAGCCUCCACAUCACCCCAAUUAUUUCUAGCCAUUAGGUAUGACAUCUACGAGUCCUCCAAAUUGUUCGUUUGAUGUUACGUUCGGCUGAACCUCUAGAAAGAAUCACCGAGUCCAAACUAACAGCGGGAAGCAGUGGCGGGAGGCACCAAGCAGACAGACAAUGGUGGGAAUACUGUGGUGGUUGUGGCCUCGCUGCCUAGGGGAUUUGGGGAAUUAGAUGCUCAUGUGAGGGAUUUCACAAUUUAGGUACGGAACUAUAUAACUUAGAUCGUCCACAGCGGCGCCGUACACAGGGGAGGCAGUGCAGGGGUGUUCGCGGAGGGGCGGAGGCGCUGUUGGGCGACCAUGGCGUAAGGGUACGAGCGGAGGUGGUGCAGGGCGUACGCAGGAGGGGCAGAGGUGGUGCAGGGGGCGCGCAACAUAGGAGCGAAGGAGGUGCAAGCCUAGCCGCGAGCGGAGGUGGUGCAGCGGGGCGCUGGCGCAGUUGGGGUCGAGGAUUUGAUGGAAAAGUGAGAUUGGGGAAGAAGAAGAGAUAAGGGGAAAGAGUAAUUCAUUCUUUCUUUUGUGGGUCUCAUCUACGUGCAAGUUUGGCAUCAUCUGCACUGCAGGAAAAAAAUUAAUUUCGCAUCAAUGCCAAAUUGGACCUAUGCGACAAAUUUGGCUUUUGGCAGGCUGUGGAAGCGCUUUAGGUGCACAAAUCUUAUGUUUUUGAUUUUAAAAUUAAAAAUACGAUGAAUAUAUACGUAUCGGACAAAAUUCAAUAUUAAUGAAUUAUACUCCCUCCAUCCGGAUUGAUAAGACCUGCAUUGAAUUUUGUGCCUAACUUUGUCGAACAAUUAUACAAAAAUGUAGGUAUAUAAACGUUAUACUAUUGAUUGAGUUUUCCAAUACGAAUACAACGAUAUCUCUUUUGGGUCGCAAUAACGUUGUAUUACCAAGUAUUGUUUGGCCAAAGUCCGUUAUAAUUAGAAUUCCUUGCGGGCCUUGUAAACCCGACCAGAAGGAGCAUACCAGUAUGGCAGGGAAUCAAAGGAGUUACAAAGUGAAAAAAAAAACAUCAACACACGUAAAAAAAAAUACGACAACGGUCAGCAUGUCUAGCUCGCGCAUUUCGCGCGGGCCACCAUGCUAGUUUUGAAAAAUUAUGACACGUAAAUUAAAGCAGAUUAGAUCAUGCGAAGUUGCGAACUAGUAGUUGACACCUCUAUUAGUGUUAAUUUAAUGUUCAUUUUUUGCCAAAAUUCGCUGGUGUAAAAUACUUGACACCAGUGGCUCUAUGCCAGCUCCGUCCCUGCUGUUAAUCCCGUGGAUCAGCAAAACUAACAUAUCCAGACUGUCUUAAUGCAGUCGUUCAAAUGUAUGGCUGAUGGCUGCUGUUAAAACUUAUCAUGUAGCUGUAGCAGCGCGCGAGGCGUCGCUUACCGUAGGACCGCUGCAAAAAUCAGGAACUCUCGCAAGGGAUCGGCUGGACACUGCAGCGCUAGCACUCUUUCGUCAAACAAGGACACGUACUGUGCACUGCGCACAUGUCGAUGAUCAAAGUUGCUUGUUCUUUAGCGACCAAUGAUCUGUCGCGCAUCUUUGUUGUUUUCCAGUGAUCACUACAUAUGCGGCAGCCAGUGGACGUAUGCCCAAAUCAACCCAAUGCAUCUUCCAAAAGCCAACCAAAAGAAACAAUAAUAGAGUGAUUUCGCUAUCGAUAUGAGAGCAUAUAUAAUACAUGCAAAACAAUCAUGUCAUGUAUCGGCAAUAUUAGAGUGUCCGUGCACCAACUUGAGAAGAAACAUGUGGGCUAACACUUCAUAAGCAUUACAAUUCUCUUCUACUCCCUAGUUGAAAGCUGAGACAUUUAUUUUGAAUCGGAGGAAGUAUAAAUAACUAUCUUUGACAAGAGGAAUUAACCCUCUAAAACUUUCCUCCUCGCCAAAAACAAACUUUUCUCCUCGUGUACAAGUCGGCGAGAUGAACAUGACUUGAAGAAAACCGAACAUGUCACACCACAUCCAGGUAGUCACACACACGCCCGAAAGUGUACGUCAGGCUAUAUAUAUGGAUGGAUCAGUGUAUGGAAUGGCUACGGCCUACGAGGGGAGAUGAAGGUGACACGAGCUUUGUCACUUCCGACUGCACGCUUGGUCCAUAUAACCAGAUAGCCUCUCCCCGAUGUGCACGUUACCGAUGCUCAGAACAAGCUAGUUUGCAGAAACACGAGUCCUCCUCUUACGUCUGUUUUUCUUCCUCUUCCUUCUUCUUUAGUAAAACUAAACUAUUUACUAAAUAAGUAUACUUCCUCCGUCCAACAAAAGAUGUCUCGACUAAAUUUGAAUCCAUCUACAUCCAAAUUUUGACAAACUUGAAACAUCUUUUGUUGGACGGAGGGACUAGUAAAAAAAUAUAAACAUGACAGAUUUAAUAAAACUAAUUUAAAGUUUUAGAUGUCACUUGUAGUUUUUUUUCCUAUAAACAUAAUCAAAGCUCAGAAAGUUUGACAUGAAAUAAAUUCUUUUAAAGACAAUUAGUACACUGUGCACAUCGUUAUGUCUUUUUCAGCGUGACCGAUCCAGAAGGAUCUGAACAAUUAUGUGCAGAACACGGUGUUUUGAACAGCAGUGCGCAUAAAAUGCAUGUAUACUUUGCCCCUGGCGAGAAAUCAAAUUUCUAGUAUUGGGGUGAACGGAAGUUAAUUAGGUCUUGUUUGGCACUAGUAUUUUUAAUUUCUGGUGCUUCUAAAAUUUUAUCUCCUCCAAAUUCAAAAACAGUAGAAAUCCAAUGAUAAGGAAGGAUUGCAGGAGAUUAUCCUUAAAUUUUCCGCACAAAUAUUUAAUAUGAAAUGGAGGAAGCACGUGGCUGCUGGCUACUGCUUAUCCCUAUCCUGUAGCAGCGCUGUAGUGCAAACCAAAUUGCCAUGGCUGCUGCUAAUAUUUGGCCACGCAUGUUCUGCAUAAUCUCUAUCCUGUAGCAUCGAUCGCUACAUGCAGAACCUGCAGUGCUGGCACCUAUCCCCGCGAAGCAUAAAUCAAUCACGCUGCAUGCACUAGAUCGAUCUCUCGUCAAACAACAACAGGAUUAAUUCGCCCGAGGGAUAAUGACUUCACAAAGGUUCCCAUGCAUUAUUGAUGACCAAAGCUUUUUUUUUAAGCUGUUAAUUUGUUCGGCAGCGAGCAACAAUCACAGUCGCGCAUCAUAUCUUUGCUGUUCCCGAUUGAGUGCACACUGCACACUGCACACUGAUCACAAAUUCACAAUGUAGCAGGCGGCCGGGGGCGCUGUCUUGCAACUCUUUUUUCGUUCACAAAUAAGUGUACAUCAAGUUUUUAAAAUUGUCCAUAAAAGAGAGUACUUCUUCUUUUUCAAAGCACUUUAGAGUAAAAAAGUUGCUUCUCUCUUAUCACACGGAAAUCAAAUCCAAUAUAGAGUAGUAUUUCUCCACGCAGUUAGCUCAUUGGAGGUACAAGAAUUAAAAAGCAAAGAAAAUGGUGGUUGGCAUAUUCGCAAUGCAUUUUCUACCUUACUUUAUAAUUUUCUUGAAAUUUUCAUAUGUACACUUAUUUAUGGACGGAGGAAGGACGCAUGUAGGAGUGUAUGAUGGAGAUCGAUGUAUGUAAUUUACAGCCUAAAGAAGGAGAAGCUAAUUUCCCAAAAGAGAGAGCGUCGGACUCCUGGGCGGGCCUUCAUUGCUAGCUAGGGCCCAUGUCAAUUAAGCAUAAAACGGAAUGACACCGAAAGAUGGGCGCGCGCUACGUGUAUGUACUAGCCACAUGAUCGUGCAUUGCUACGAAUAAAAUCUCCGGUCCAUUUAGGACUAAAACACGAUGCAAGGAGAAAUUAGUCGUUAUAGAAAAUUCGUUUAUUAUGUAUCAUUGACAUUUCUUGAUAAUCAACGUUGAUACUUAUUGCAAUAGAUUAAUUGUUUACACUUAAAAGUUGAGGAUUUUUUUCACGGAUUGUCUCUUUUAUAGGAUUACUUUCAUCGUUGGAGACAGAUGCAUCGAUCUGCUUCAGGUACAUGCGUACGUGGACAGCUAGCUUAACGGAGAAAUUAACCCCUUGUGGCUCUUGAUUCAGCUUUACGUGGUCUGAGCUCAUUCUUCUUUCUGAGACUUUAGCUCAUUCUAUUUCACAGAGAAUUAAAAGUCUAUAUAUUUUUAGAUUGUACUAGUAAUUCUUUUUCACAAAAAUUACCCUUAGGAGCUAAAUCAAAAUUGUCUUUUUCAGAGGGGUAGCUAAAUCAAUUAUUGGUACUAUAGCAUCUUUGUUGGGUCGACAGGCCCUGCCCCAUGCUCAUGAAAACCACAUGACAUGGCCAGUAGCGUCUAGCCCCCCUGCCUACGCCCUAGAGACUCCUGUAGCUCCAUGUCUAGCCCAAUCUAGGAAGACCGGGACAGGAGGGAGGAGGAAGGAAUCUGUUGUACUGGCAGACAAAAAGACGGAUUUCGCCCUCAGCCCUUUCUCCAGGCGUGCAGCCAGAGCCUUAUCUGCAGUAGCUGAAUCUGUGGCUGCCAAUCAGCUGCUGCCCAAACGGCCAGCACGGGCUCUACUUUUUCGUGCUCCAAAUCAAAAUCACUCUCGGGGGUACGCAUCAGGAUAUGUACUGCACAUCGCUCGCCCCGUACACGUCAGGAGGACAUGUAGUCAUGUACUGUCGUGCGUGGUGAUAUGACUGUGCCAAUCAGCGCUGUGUACUCUGUUUGUAACUAACCGUGAAUGUCCAAGGACAGCUCUGUACUUCUUUUUUGACCGCUCUGUACUCCCUACUUUGUUUGCUUAGAACGUGAUUUAUUUCUUUACGAAAUGCGGUCCAAACGCAUUCACUCAAAAAGACACGUACGCACACAUUAUCUCUUUGAAGACCUUUGAGAGAUCAUGGUCCUCGUUUGAUCAUAUUUCCUCCAUUUCAUAAAGGUUGGCGUAUUUUGUUUCGUUAGGACAAACUUUGACCGAUAAAAACUCCAUUGAUAUGUGUUUUUCAUACAUGAAAUUUAUAUCGAUGGAUUUGUCUUUAAAAGUUCUUUUUAAUGAUCAUGGUUUCGUAUCAUAUAACUUACAUAUUGAUAGAGUAAUUCUUAGUCAAAAGCUUGUCUUAACGAAACAAAAUACGCCAACCUUUAUGAAAAGGAGGGAGUAUUAUUUUGUGCUGAAUUCAAGACACUUAUUAUGAAUAGAAGAAAGUAGGAUUUUUUAGGAGAAAUGGAAUAUUUCAAUCCUAAGAAAUAAUUCUUAAAGAAAAAUAGCGAACCUAAACCUGAGUUGGCUAGUUUCACCACACGGAACCAAACCAUCUGAACUAAGUUACACUGAGUUCGCCCCUAGAAUGGGAGAUCGUUCAUCCUAAUCUACUGGUUUUAACAUAUGAUGAGUUGUUUUGUUAAGAAAAAAUUCCAGAGACCCAGAUGGUUCAUAAUUCAUCUGUACGUCCACCCCUUCCAUGAGUUCUCUACAUGCCGAUAAAAAAAUUAAAUAAAUUUAUGGUACCACAAAAAUAUAUAUCAAUUUGGGAACAUGUAAUCAAGGCUAUACUCGUCAGCGGUACAAGUAACAAAUUUUCUAUGGUUUUUGGUUUGGAAUUAACUUUCGCGCGGUAUCAAUUUUCUGACGUUUUAACUUUCGCCAGGGUAGCCUGGACGCGCACUUCGACAGGUUGGAGCAAGCAAAGAUGGAUCCCGACGGCCUCUUCCAACAUAUCCAACUGGUGGCAAGAAGUGGACGCCUCUAGGAAGGAACGAGUUGAUGUUGCCACCGGUGUAACCCUUCUGUUCUGGACAAUUUGGAAACACAUGAAUCGAGUUGUUCUUGACGGCGCUAGGCCAAGCUCGUUAAACAUCGUAACUGAUUUUGGGCUUGAGUUUAGGGUGUGGAGAUUGGCAGGUUUAUUCCUGGCUGAAGGGAGGGAGUGGAGAGAUAAUGGGUGAUAUGUAACCUAACUAUGUAACGCUGCCUCGCAGCUCCUUUUUUCUUUAAAUUGAUGAUGCACCAGCUUGGUGCAUUCUAGAAAAAAAAAAGAAACAGAGACGCGGCCGCUCGUGCAUCACGGGGCAGGGGUCACGUCGCCGUCCCGUCCGUCCAGUCCAACCGGCCCAGGUGGCCGAGAGAAGCCAGACGAAGCCAGUAGAGCACUGCUCUUUUUGGUUCUUUGACAGCAACCAGGAGGUCCAGGACAUUUUCAUCGCACAUGUCCCUCAAAGCUAGGAUCCCUGAUGACCUUUUGCCUCAGAGGCCACGUCUCCACCUCCCCGGAAGACCUGAAAACGUCUCUUCGAGCACCUUCAACGCUCUGCAGUAAGCCUCUUCCUCAUCAUCCUCCGAAACGUCGCACAUGCGCCCCGUGUUAAAAAUACAUACCCCAAAUUAAUUUACUACUCCGUAUUAUAAAAGACUCAAAUGAUGGCAAUGGUCGGUUGCAUCUUGAGAUCUAUCCCUCAUUUUUUUUACACAGAUCUAUCACUAUACGUACAAAAAAUUAUGUCUAUUUUGGACGUUUAACAGAUGGUCAUAUUUUUUGAACGACUGACUACAAGCGCUCAUACUAUAGCAUAAUUUUAACAUUUAUGAAUUUUGUUCACAUUAUUUUCUGAGAACUCGCAGAAUGCAUAGGAUGCCUCCCGCAGCUAGUUGCAGGACCACCCAAUUAGCUUGAUCAUCCUUGGCCCAUGCACGUGCUACAGCAAAUCAGCAAUCGGCCGUUGAAAAUGUAACAAAUUUUGAUCCGGUAAUCAUGUUGGAAAUUUGGAAUACAGUAGGAAUAAAAUGCUUAUUUGUUUUCCAAAGCUGAGUGAUUGACAAUCCGCGUUACAUAUUCGUGGAACUUCUGGAGAGGCCAUUUUUUCUUUUUUUCAAAAUACCGUGCUACAACCGGCAAACCCAGAUCAGCAUCCUAACGACCGACCUCGCAGCAAAGGGAAAAAACAUGGGGGAAACAGAUCAAGCUACUUUGCAAAAAGAGAGAAAAAAAGGGCAACAACACACGUUCUUUUUUACAUUCUUGUUUUGGUAAGCUCUGACGACGCGCCGAUGCCAUCGAAUGUUUUUGAGAGUCCCACAAAUUGAUCGUCGAAGGAUGAGCAAUCUCGUUGGUGUACGCUUUCGUUGUUGAAGCUGCUCGUCGCUUGGUUAAUUAGUCGUCUUGCAGACAGUACAGCUUGCGGAUAUUGCACGUGCCUAAAGAUGGCAAUCUCGCCCACGAGUCAACUCGCCCGUGGUUGUCACUUGUCAGACCCGAAUGGGUAGGGUAUGGGUCGCCGUUUACACCUGUGGGUUGUCCGAUGGGUAUAACUGAUUAGUCAAUGAGAAGGGUGGGAGUGGAGGGGAGGGGAUAUAGUUUCAUGCCCUGGAUACCUGAUGGGUCGCCUGAUUAAUAUUUUUAAUAUUUUUUUAAUUGAAAAAGUAUUAUUAUUUUAUUAUAGCGUAUAACGUGUGGAUCCUUUAGUAAUACUCCGGUACAGUAAAUUUUUUUUAGAACAUACACUCCAGUACAGUAAUGAUCAAUGAAUAAAUUCAACUGUAAAGAAAAGGUAAAGUCCAACACUCAAAUGCAAAACCGGCCCAGUGGCCCAUGAGGCCAUGGCCGAACAGAAGGCAUCGAUUCUCCUCCCAUGUUGCGUGUACAAUGGGGCUGACGUCAACCUUCUCUUAGCGAUGUUAUAUAAAAUAAAAUCUGAUGUGGAAGAGAGAUAAACGAAUAAAAGUCACAAGUCUUCUCUUAAAUAAGAGAUUAUCUCCUCACAAGAAUGAUAAGGCAAACAUAAAUCAAUUUUUAAGCAUUAAUUUUAAGAUAUAAGACCAAGAGAUAACCCAUUAUACAACAUGUUUUGUUGUUUCUUUUAAAUGACGUGGAACACAUAAGAUAAGACAGUUUUAUCAACUAUUGUACAUGUCCUAGGUGGCAGGCAGGUGAUGGGCUCGUUAAUGGGUUCAGGUUUGUGUAUGGAAUAGGUCCACCCCUAGUGUUAAACCUGACCCAACUGCCACUUUUUUUUUGAGAGGUCCCAACUGCCACCUUUACCUGUGGCUGAACCGAAGCCAUGGACCGAAAGUGUUUCCAGUUACUCAAUGCACAAGAGUACUAGACAGAACUGAACUGAACUUUAAAUCAAUAGAAACCAAAUGUCUGUGCUUCACAAUAGAUUGUUGAGCUACCUAUCAAGUAAAUAAGUAAAUUAUGCUUCUAACUUAAAAAAAGGUAAAUUAUGCUUCUAACUAGCUAUCAUAGGCACCAAAUUGAAGCCUUGACAAGUUGAGUACUAUUAAGAAGUGACGAGGUGGAACGGUGGCCCGGUGCAAAGUCCUUAACGCGUUCACCGUCCAGCCAUGGGUAGGGUGCGUUCUUUCGAACUUUUAUGACUCCAAGAAUCUAACCUCACCCAGCUUCCUGCAGAAGCCGCAUCGCAGAUUUAGUUAGGUUUUCAAAAUAGUUUAGGCCAAACUAAUUUGGUAGCCUAAUCAAAUUUAGGUGACGGCUUCUCCAGAAAGCUGGAUGCACUACUACAAAACGGUGCAUCAGUGACGAGACAUCAGUGACGGGUCUUUCGCGCCCGUCACUGAUGACCAUCAUUUGUAACAGGCAUUUCGUGUCCGUCACUGAUGACCAACAUCAGUGACGGUCGCAUCCACGCCUGUCACUGACCAAUCAUCAGCAAUGCAAAAAAUAACAAAAUUCAGAAAAGCACACAUCAGUGGCGGACUCAAUAUCAAGGCCCGCCACGGAUGAGCCCUGGAGACUUUGAAGAUUGGAAAAAUCAUAACUAAUUCAUAAAAAAAAUCAGAAAAAUGUGAUUCUUUUUCCUAAAGUCUUAGUUUUUCUUGCUUGACAUGAUGGAAUAAUAAUAUCGUAUGUUAACAUUUGAAAAAUGGCUUGUGUGGUAAAAUUUUGUAGUUUCCCACAGUUGAGUUUAUGGUUUAAGCCAAAUGAUCAAAAUUUUGUCCAUUUCCAUGUCCUAAUUCAUGAUAAUGUAUUCUUUUUUGCACAUAAGUGUAUAUUACCAUGCCAAACAGUGUUGCCAAAGAAAUGUACAAAUGUUUGGUUGAAAAAAGUAUUCUUGGAUAUAUCUAAAUGCAAAAGGUGAGGUGUUUUGUUAAACAACUACAAUUAAUAUGGUUCAAAUAACACCUAUCCAAUUUUCACAUAAAGUAGACCAUAUUCAUAAAUUUAUAGGCCAAUUAUAAGUUAUAAAAUACUUGUAUUUUAUACUAAGCAAGAAAAUCCAAAAAAAAAUUCAUGUUCGAGACAUCAGUGACGGGUCCUAUAGCUACGCGCCCACCACUAAUGCUUAUAUGGGCCAGCCCAACUUAUUUGAGGCCCAGAACCAACCACAUUGCGUAUAUAAUACAACCUAACCCUAACCCCCACCCCUACCUCUCUUUCUCCCUGCCGCCGCCAGCUCCCUCCCUCACUUCUGGCCUAUCCUCUAUCUCCCAAUUUCUCCUCCUUCCUCUCCCCAGUCCACACACAUCCAUCUCUCCCUCUCCUCUCUCCUCUCUUCUGUGCGUGCCUCCAUCCUGAGCGCCGUGCUGGAGGAAGAGGGCGGUUCCCCUCUCUCCCAGCCCGGUUCUCCUCCGCCCUCCCCAAAGCGCCCGAUUCCCCUCUCUCCCGGCCCGGUUCUCCACCUCCCCGUCGCGGAUCCGGGCUGGAGGCCACCAGAUCCGGCCUAUCUUCUCCUCCCGCGCACGUCCCCCUCCCUCGAGCAACUGCAGCAGUAGCCGCGGAGGACCAUGGAGCGGCGGUGCUUAGAGGCCGUCCACCGGCGCCGCCGGAUCCAGCGCCCCCGACCCUGCCCGCAUCUGGAUCUGGCGCCCCCGACCCCGCGCGCCGCCGGUUAGUCUCUCCCUCUCUCGAAUUUUUCUCUCCCUCUCUUGAAUUUCUCUCUCCCUCUCUCGAAUUUCUCUCACUCUCGGUUUUCUCCAGUGAGCGAGCGGCGGCAUCUCCAGCUAGCAGCGGCAUGGGUUAGGUUUGGGCUGCAGUGGGUUGCGUUCGGGACUAGCUAGGGUUCUUUUUUUCCUUGUGUUUCAUCCAAUUUUUGGAUCUUGAUGUGAAGCAAUGCCAUAUUUCUUGAUCUGAUUUGUGUCCAAGCUAGGGUUGUUGAUCUGAUUUGUGUCUAUGUUGUGUGUUCGAUCAUCUCUAUUCAUCGAUUCAUUGUUGGCCGGGGAGAUCUUCGAGUUUGGGGCUGCCUGCAGAUGCCGGCGACGGGGAACGAGCAUGGAUGCCUGCUCCUGAGGCAUGGACGUGGCGAUGGGAACGUGCAGGCUGGGCCAAUGCCUAGUUUUUUUUUAAUGUGAAAAAUGAUAUCAGUGUCGGUCCCUACAAGGCCUGCCAUUGAUGUGCAUAACAUCAGCAACGGGCUAACCGCCCGUCACUGAUGUACCCCACAUUACUAGCAGGAAGUUAGUGACGGACGGUCUGCCCGUUACUGAUAGCCAUUUUUGAUUUUUACUGAUAAACGUUUUUGUAGUAGUGAUGAGAGCAGCUUCUCGGAGAAGCCGGUACAUGAAGCCGAAAAUAACUGGCCCGAAUUUAGUUCCACUUCCAUCCCUGGCUAAUGGCGAUAGCAAUAGUUGCCGCCUCAAACAACUCACAUGAUUUCUUCCGUAUUUGAAGAUCAAAUUGUUGCCAAGGAUUGCAACCAGCUCCACCUGGUUCUCACGGCCCAGGUUAGGAAUAUCAAGUCCCCCAAUCCUUCUUGGAGAGCAGACCGAAUUCCAAGCAAUCAGACAAUUUCCUCCGUUGAUAUUCCUAUUGCCCUUCCACAAAAACCCUCGACAAAUCUUUUCAAUGUUGACAUGGAUCAUUAAAGAGGGCCUCAUUAAUCAUUAUCUUCAUUACCGAUUAAUCAUCAUCUUCAUUAUCAACUAAUGGCAUUCUAGUUUUGCCCAAACAUAUUGACAUACGCUUCGUCGCAAAAAAAAAAACAUACGCCUCUCCCGGCGUCACGGGAGCUAUGUACGUUCAUGUUGUACAUGGAUCUUAUUCGAAAUUAACUCUACAUGCAACAAUGCAAUGAUAUGCUCUCCGGAGCCGCAAUCUCAGAUGGAGAUGCUGUUGGGGAUGCCCCUCCCGGUGACCCCUGGCCCCGAGAACGGCUUGAGCAGCUCAUAUGGCACGAUCCCGGCGCCACACCUGUUCUUGUUGUCCUGGUUAUUGUUUCGCUCGUCGAUGGUGCCUUCCACCUCCUUGAGCCUUCCAUUGAACUUCUCGAACGCCGCCUUGAUCAUGGGCUCCGCCAACCACGCCGAUUCCGCGUACUCUCCCAUGUACUCCUCGUCGGGGGAGUGCGAGGAGAGGAUGUCAAGCGUCGCCAUCACCUUGAUAGCCUGCAUCUGCGAGGGAAGGCUCUCCAGCAGCACCUCCUCCGGCUUGGCCAUGAACCUCCUCAUCUCGUCCUCCUUGUUCUCCUCCACCGGUAUGUUCUUCCGCACCACCGUGGGCCGGUUCGGGAAGUACCCGCCGUAGUGGUACUGCCCGAAGUUGACGGCGGCGUGGUGCCCUGACGUGACCCACAUGAUGAUGGUAAGGAUCUGCACGAGGUUGUCCCGGGAGUCGCACACCGGCCACCACUGCUCGUCCUUCUUGUCGGCGUGUCCCUUGGUGCGCACCUCCUCCCACCAAGCCUGCACCUCCUUGUCUCCGGUGACAUCCUUGUCGGACUUGUAGUAGAACUUGACGUAGUCGGACGCCCAUUGCUUGAUGGAGUUCCAGAUGAGGAGCCCGUCAUUGGCGUACGGGUAGUCCUUGAUGGUGAGCUCGAGCUCCCCGUCGUUCCCACGCACGGCGAGGCCCCGUGAGACGAGGUCCUCCGGCAGGGCCUCCGUGUCGAAUCGCCAAGUGGCGGCGUAGGCAACGGAGCUGAGCUCGAUGGAGUACUUCCCUGGCCAAAAGGCGUCCUCGAUGAUGCCGUCGGCGUUUACGAGGGCCUCCCUGGCCAGCGCGUUGAUCUCCAUUGUGUAGCGGAAGUGCGGGUGCAGGAGGCGGUACACCGGGUGCAUCCGGCUGAGCUGCCGGUUGGCGGCGAUGAUGUAGGGCUCCACGGAGGCGUGCGUGCGCAGCCAGUGGCUGACCAGCUGGUGGUAGCCCGUGUCGUGGGUGAGCACGUGCGCCUUGGCCAGCUUCCACAACCACGAGUCGGUGGCGUCGUGGCCGUGCGUGAAGGCACGCUUCCACUGUGGCUUGGUGGGGGACUGCGGGCGAGUCAGCUCGAUGGCGAGCGGCAUCAGUGUGCCUUGGUCGGUGAGGAAGAAGACGGUACGGGAGCCGUAGAGCGUGGUGUCGGGAAGCUCCCGGACCCUGUGCACGUAUGGCAGGAACACGUCGUGGUAGUCCAGGAUGAAGAGCCUCUUCCGCUCCACCGCCUCCUCCACCGUCAUGGGGUUUAGGCCGCUCAUCAUCUUCUCCAGGAGCUCCUUGGUAAGCGCCGACUCUGCCGGCCCGUACACCGCCGGGUCCAGCUUGCUCAUGAUGGGGAAUUCCUGUAUGCACACACAUCACGAUGAUUAAUAACUUGAAAUUAAUCCUGUAUUCCUUCAGUUACUAAAUUCUUGUCAUGUUUUUUAGUUUAAAUUUAAACUAAAUCCACGACAAGAAUUUAAAAAUCGAGUGAGUAGUACUUAAUCAAUCCUAGCAAAUUAAUUAGUUACCGUGAGGAGGCGGAUGCAGAUAGGGUUGAGGCCUGCGAGCGUCUGCCUGGCGAACUCCUCGUCUCUGAACCACGAGAACCUGUCCCCUGCAAAUGAAGCCCCAUAUAUGUUAUGCUUAACCCGGGCCAUGCUAGCUAGGCAUGGGCCGCAUGGAAGAGCUAAUUACUGGACAGUGGUGCUCACUCUCGACCAUCUGGGGGACCUCGAAGCGGAGUACGUGCUCGGUGGUGUCCUCGAUCAUGCGCACGACGCGCGGGAUGACGCUGGCGAAGGAGGAGGCGCCGGCGACGUCGCCGGGCAGCGGGAUGCCGUCGUCGUAGAGCGCGUCGAUGGCCGGGAAGUGCGAGAACGUCGGGGAGUUGUUGAUGAGCGGGCUGAGGGCCGGCAGGACGGCGUGCAGCCCCGACCGGAGCGUCGUCGCGCUGAACGUCAGCCCCUUGAUGCCCGAGAACUGCUCGUCCCUCGGCACGUAUACCGACGAGCUCCUCUUCUCCGUCUCCGGGCCUGCCAAUCAAAUUGCAUCUUCGAUCAUUAUCUCCGUCCGGAAUCCCGAUUGUAGUAAGUAAUUCUGCUUCUUAGAUUUGAUUUUCUGUGCUGUGCGUAUAUACUGCGAAGGGUCUUGGGGCGUCCUGUGCGGCAGCGGCGAGGGUAGGGGUGCUCUUUGCCGCCCAGAACUGGCCGCAGGUGCUCGAUGUUCUUGUCCGGGUCACCCAGGUCGUUGUACGUGUCAUAGUCGUAGACCCGCUCAUGGAACUUGCGCUCGCCGGUCCCGUCGCCACGCAGCGUCUCCAGCUCCUUCCUCCGCAACGCCUCGAUCCCUGGCGGCGUCUGCGACGGCAGGUACGACUGCAUGCACAUACACGCCCAUGCAUGCUAAGCUAAUUAGUGGAGUGUGCCAUGCAUGGGAAUGGGGGAUUGGCUCUGGCUGAAUUAGUCAUGUACCCUGACGGAGAAGAAAACGCGUGGGUCAGGGUUGUCGAACUUGGAGUGGACCCAGGAGCCGACGUGGAAGGCGACGGCAGAGCUCUCGUCGCCGCCGGUGACGAGUUUGAUGUCCUUUAUGAACAUCUCCUUGUGGUGCUCGUUCU